CCGGCGCACGGGUGGGUAACACGUAUCCAACCUGCCGUCUACUCUUGGCCAGCCUUCUGAAAGGAAGAUUAAUCCAGGAUGGCAUCAUGAGUUCACAUGUCCGCAUGAUUAAAGGUAUUUUCCGGUAGACGAUGGGGAUGCGUUCCAUUAGAUAGUAGGCGGGGUAACGGCCCACCUAGUCAACGAUGGAUAGGGGUUCUGAGAGGAAGGUCCCCCACAUUGGAACUGAGACACGGUCCAA
rnacentral:rRNA from 1 species